rnacentral:lncRNA from 1 species
GCAGUAGAAAGCAUUACAAUUCUUAUUACACAUAUAGGGCACAAUUUUUCAUUUCUCUGAUAUAAAGUAUGUUCAAGCCAAUUUAUGCCUAUAUACAUGUACUUUAUUGUUUUUUUUUGCAUUACAAUUCUUAUUACACAUAUAUACCACAAUUUUUGUAUCUCUGUAUAUAAAGUGUGUUGACACCCAAUUCAAGUCUUCAUAUCAGUAAUCUUUAUCUUCUAGUUCUUUUGUAGAAAUCUUUGAAAAUUCUUACUGCUUGGAACACCUCAGUGUAAUGGUGGUAAAUUUGGAUUUGAGCUUUGGAGGAAGAGAGAGGCUUCCUGCUUAGACUUUGAGCCAAAGGGUAGUGCCUUGAUGUGGUUCAGUAGAGAAUGUUGCUUUGGGGGUAUCUAGCAGCAACCAAGAUAAGAAUGGUAUUUUGAUUUCCCCUUUAAUAAUUUCCUGCACUCCCUAUUCCUCUCUCAGCUUCCUCUACCUUCCCUUUCUUCCCUCCCUUCCUCCCAUAUUUGUGCAGAUGGCAGAGUUUUUGUAAUCUAGAGUUUUCUUUAGUUCAUUGGUUUUCAUAUCAGACACAUAGAGAAAAUAUUUCAAGACCAGGGAUAAUGGAAGGGGCUACAUAAAGCCAAAGCCUUAGGUUCUACAUGCCCAUUGUUUUUCAAAUAUAGGUCACAACCCAUUAGUGAAAUUAAGAAGUGCACUGCCACUGUUAAAAUAAAUGAAGAUGAUAAAAUACAUGAUUCAUUGUUGAAAGAAUUAUAUGAGUGUAUAUUUGUAAUCUUGCAAUGUGAAAUAUAUUUAUUAGUUCACAGACUUUGAAAGCUAAUUGCUCUAGCCAAAUACUAAUUAAUAAUGCAGCUUUCUUAAACAGGGGGCAAGAUUUAUGAACAAAGAUUCAAGCUUAAUAAAUUGUAACAUUUGAGCACUUAAAUAUCAUCAGGAGACUGACCACCUACCUAAACCAUGACAUAACAUUUCAAGUUAGGAUUCUCAUAUCUUCCUUUGUGUUUUUAGGGUUUGUAGUGUGCAAAGAUUAAUAACUUUUCAGACUUCUUGUAGAAUUGGUGGAUUUUUGAGGAACAAUAAGUGUACCAUAAUAUACUGUGGUAACAGCACAUAAAAAUGAGAUUUGAGCCCUGUUUUGUUGUGACAGGCUUGGCCAAAUUACUGAACUCCUUUAUGGCUGUUUACUCAUCCAGAAAAUGGAGCUAAUAGUGUGUAUGUUAUAAGAUUGUUAAGAGUAAGAAAUAUGGUAAUGAAUGCAAAUUGCUCAGCACAUGGCUUGAACUCUUCAGUAAGUAGUUAAUUCUAGGCUAAGUUUUGCUUCUUACAUUAUUAAAUCUCUGUGUCUUAGUUUCUUCUUCAGCUCACAUUUUAGCCAAUGUUUUUAGAUACUUCUUUGGAGAAUCAAAAACUUCUUUAGUCAUUUUACAAGAGUUUGAGACAAAAUCAGAUUAUAGUAUGUUUGAAAAGCAUGAUAUAAAUUUAUAGUACUUUAAUUCCAGUAGUAGCAGUAAUAGGAAACCUGUUGGCAUUAUAUGGGAACUCAUUAAUAACUGUAUGUCCAAAUGGAUAGAAUUCAGAUAAGGAUAAGUGGAUACUUUAGUUCGUUAAAAGUGCCAUCCUCUUUCCUGCCUUAGGGCUUUUACAUUAUUCUUUUUGCCCAGAAUUUU